AGCUUGCUCCUGAAUUCAGCGGCGGACGGGUGAGUAAUGCCUAGGAAUCUGCCUGGUAGUGGGGGACAACGUUUCGAAAGGAACGCUAAUACCGCAUACGUCCUACGGGAGAAAGCAGGGGACCUUCGGGCCUUGCGCUAUCAGAUGAGCCUAGGUCGGAUUAGCUAGUUGGUGAGGUAAUGGCUCACCCAGGCGACGAUCCGUAACUGGUCUGAGAGGAAGAUCAGUCACACUGGAACUGAGACACGGUCCAGACUCCUACGGGAGGCAGCAGUGGGGAAUAUUGGACAAUGGGCGAAAGCCUGAUCCAGCCAUGCCGCGUGUGUGAAGAAGGUCUUCGGAUUGUAAAGCACUUUAAGUUGGGAGGAAGGGCAUUAACCUAAUACGUUAGUGUUUUGACGUUACCGACAGAAUAAGCACCGGCUAACUCUGUGCCAGCAGCCGCGGUAAUACAGAGGGUGCAAGCGUUAAUCGGAAUUACUGGGCGUAAAGCGCGCGUAGGUGGUUUGUUAAGUUGGAUGUGAAAUCCCCGGGCUCAACCUGGGAACUGCAUUCAAAACUGACAAGCUAGAGUAUGGUAGAGGGUGGUGGAAUUUCCUGUGUAGCGGUGAAAUGCGUAGAUAUAGGAAGGAACACCAGUGGCGAAGGCGACCACCUGGACUGAUACUGACACUGAGGUGCGAAGCGUGGGGAGCAACAAGA
rnacentral:rRNA from 1 species